CACGUAGGAGGCGAGCGUUAUCCGGAAUUAUUGGGCGUAAAGAGCUCGUAGGCGGUUUGUCACGUCUGCUGUGAAAACUGGAGGCUCAACCUCCAGCCUGCAGUGGGUACGGGCAGACUAGAGUGCGGUAGGGGAGAUUGGAAUUCCUGGUGUAGCGGUGGAAUGCGCAGAUAUCAGGAGGAACACCGAUGGCGAAGGCAGAUCUCUGGGCCGUAACUGACGCUGAGGAGCGAAAGCAUGGGGGGCGAACAGG
rnacentral:rRNA from 1 species